UAGGGAAUCUUCGGCAAUGGACGGAAGUCUGACCGAGCAACGCCGCGUGAGUGAAGAAGGUUUUCGGAUCGUAAAGCUCUGUUGUAAGAGAAGAACGAGUGUGAGAGUGGAAAGUUCACACUGUGACGGUAUCUUACCAGAAAGGGACGGCUAACUACGUGCCAGCAGCCGCGGUAAUACGUAGGUCCCGAGCGUUGUCCGGAUUUAUUGGGCGCAAAGCGAGCGCAGGCGGUUAGAUAAGUCUGAAGUUAAAGGCUGUGGCUUAACCAUAGUACGCUUUGGAAACUGUUUAACUUGAGUGCAAGAGGGGAGAGUGGAAUUCCAUGUGUAGCGGUGAAAUGCGUAGAUAUAUGGAGGAACACCGGUGGCGAAAGCGGCUCUCUGGCUUGUAACUGACGCUGAGGCUCGAAAGCGUGGGGAGCAAACAGGAUUAGAUACCCUGGUAGUCCACGCCGUAAACGAUGAGUGCUAGGUGUUAGACCCUUUCCGGGGUUUAGUGCCGCAGCUAACGCAUUAAGCACUCCGCCUGGGGAGUACGACCGCAAGGUUG
rnacentral:rRNA from 1 species